AGGGAAUCUUCCACAAUGACGAAGUCUGAUGGAGCAACGCCGCGUGAGUGAUGAAGGGUUUCGGCUCGUAAAACUCUGUUGUUGGAGAAGAACAGGUGUGAGAGUAACUGUUCACAUCUUGACGGUAUCCAACCAGAAAGCCACGGCUAACUACGUGCCAGCAGCCGCGGUAAUACGUAGGUGGCAAGCGUUGUCCGGAUUUAUUGGGCGUAAAGCGAGCGCAGGCGGUUUCUUAGGUCUGAUGUGAAAGCCUUCGGCUUAACCGGAGAAGUGCAUCGGAAACCAGGAGACUUGAGUGCAGAAGAGGACAGUGGAACUCCAUGUGUAGCGGUGAAAUGCGUAGAUAUAUGGAAGAACACCAGUGGCGAAGGCGGCUGUCUGGUCUGUAACUGACGCUGAGGCUCGAAAGCAUGGGUAGCGAACAGGAUUAGAUACCCUGGUAGUCCAUGCCGUAAACGAUG
rnacentral:rRNA from 1 species